UCUCGAUUGGUCUAGUGGUAAGGAUACCUGCUUGUCAUUCAAUCAUUGAUUCGGUUUUCACGAUGGUGGAUACUAGUAAUGUCAAAGAACAAGCCGCAGGUGGCCGGGGUUCGAUUCCCCGAUCGAGAG